CGCGCAGGCGGCUCUGAAAGUCAGAUGUGAAAGCCCCGGGCUUAACCUGGGAAUUGCAUUUGAUACUCUAGAGCUUGAGUACGGGAGAGGAGAGUGGAAUUCCCAGUGUAGAGGUGAAAUUCGUAGAUAUUGGGAAGAACACCGGUGGCGAAGGCGGCUCUCUGGACCGUAACUGACGCUGAGGCGCGAAAGCGUGGGGAGCAAACAGGAUUAGAUACCCUGGUAGUCCACGCCGUAAACGAUGUGCGCUAGACGUUGGAAGGCUUAGCCUUUCGGUGUCGCAGCUAACGCGAUAAGCGCACCGCCUGGGGAGUACGGCCGCAAGGUUAAA
rnacentral:rRNA from 1 species